rfam:Salmo salar isolate Sally breed double haploid chromosome ssa11, whole genome shotgun sequence.
UAUAACAAUGUAGAUAAGGGAAGUUGGAAAAAAAGAGCCGUAACCUCAGGAUAAGGAUUGGCUCUAAGGGCUGAGUUGGUCGGGCUGGGGUGCGAAGCGGGGCUGGGCUCGAACUGCGGCUGGGGGAGCAGUUGCUCUGUCGCCCUCCUCUCGCCACCAUUGGAAGUUCGUUGUGCGGUCUCUCGUGCGUGGUCUCGCAAGGGGCUGCGUGUGGGGGUUCGUCGGGGUCGUGUCUGUCAGCGGGCCGAAGGCGGACCGGUGGGGGGUUGGGUCCGGCAGUUGGCAGUUGCAACUCUGGACGCUCGCCGGGCCCUUCUCACAGAUCUCCCCAGCUACGGCGCUCGCCGGCCCCACACAUUGUAGGUGGGGAGGUCUCCUCUACGCUCACUAGACUAAACCCAUUGGCCCCGCAGUGAUAGGGCAUUGCAUGGAUCUGGCUCAUUGCCUAUGAAGUGGGGAGAGGUAUCUCCAGCUUGUCUGGGGAGGAAGGCCUACAUUUGAUCUGGGUAGUACUAUCCACGCCCAUUGAUUUGCUGUGGAACCAUAAAACGGACAGAAGAAGCCUAGGUUCCCACUGGGAACGUAUCACUGAAUGUCAACUUGAUGGAAUUCAAAAGGAGCGUACCCACCUGUCGCCGUCGCACUCAAAUCACCCGUGGGGUGACUGUGACCCCCUCAUGUCAAAGUGAGGAAAUUGGAUGAAGCGGGGGUAAACGGCGGGACAUAAUUUAGAGUCUUUUGAGGUAGCCAAAUGCCUCGUGAUCUAAUUAGUGACGCGCGUGAAUGGAUGAAUGAGAUUCCCACUGUCCCUCCCUACUAUCUAGAAAAACCCCAGCCAAGGGAACGGGCUUGAUGGAAUCAGUGGGGAAAGAAGAACUACUCUUAUCGUUUUUCGAGCCAGGUGCGACCCACUCCGCUUAGGGAGGACAGAAACUUCCCGUGGAGCAGAAGUGCAAAAGUUGGCUUGUUCUUGAUUUUCAGGAUGAAUACAGACUGUGAAAGCGGGGCCUCACGAUCCUUCUGAAUUUUUGGCUUUUAAGCAAGAGGUGUCAGAAAAGUUAUCACAAUGAUAACUGGCUUGUGGCUGCCAAGCGUUCAUAGCGACGUCACUUUUUGAUCCUUCGAUGUUGGCUCUUCCUAUCAUUGUGAAGCAGAAUUCACCAAGCGUUGGAUUGUUCACAAACGAAUAGGGAACGUGAGCUGGGUUUAGACCGUUGUUAGACAGGCUAGUUUUACCCUACUGAUAAUGUGUUGCUGCAAUAGUAAUCCUGCUCAGUACGAGAAGAACUGCAGGUUCAGACAUUUGGUGUAUUUGCUUGGCUGGAGCCAAUGGUGCGAAGCUACCAUCUGUGGGAUUAUGACUGAACGCGUCUAAGUCAGAAUCCCCCCUAAACGUAAUGAUACCGUAGCGCAGCAGAUCUUCGGUUGGCCCGGGAUAGCCUGCCUCUUUUGGAUGGUGAGUAGAGCAGUUUGUGACGAGGUUAGGGUGUGGCCGGAUGAGUUGCCGCCCCUCUCCUGAUGCACACUGCAUGUUUGUGGGUAACCUGGUGCUAAAUCACUCGUAGACAACCUGAUUCUGUGUCAGGGUUUCAUACGUAGCAGAGCAGCUCACCCGCUACGAUCUAUUGAAAGUAAGCCCUCGAUCCAAGCUUUU